AGUGAACGCUGGCGGUAGGCCUAACACAUGUAAGUCGAACGGCAGCACAGUAAGAGCUUGCUCUUACGGGUGGCGAGUGGCGGACGGGUGAGGAAUACAUCGGAAUCUACUUUUUCGUGGGGGAUAACGUAGGGAAACUUACGCUAAUACCGCAUACGACCUACGGGUGAAAGCAGGGGAUCUUCGGACCUUGCGCGAUUGAAUGAGCCGAUGUCGGAUUAGCUAGUUGGCGGGGUAAAGGCCCACCAAGGCGACGAUCCGUAGCUGGUCUGAGAGGAUGAUCAGCCACACUGGAACUGAGACACGGUCCAGACUCCUACGGGAGGCAGCAGUGGGGAAUAUUGGACAAUGGGCGCAAGCCUGAUCCAGCCAUACCGCGUGGGUGAAGAAGGCCUUCGGGUUGUAAAGCCCUUUUGUUGGGAAAGAAAAGCAGCAGGUUAAUACCCCGCUGUUCUGACGGUACCCAAAGAAUAAGCACCGGUUAACUUCGUG
rnacentral:rRNA from 1 species